rnacentral:rRNA from 1 species
UACGUAGGCAGCAGGCGUUGUUCGGAGUUACUGGGCGUAAAGGGUGUGUAGGCGGUUAUUUAAGUUUGGUGUGAAAUCUCCCGGCUCAACCGGGAGGGUGCGCCGAAUACUGAAUGACUUGGAGUGCGGGAGAGGAAAGUGGAAUUCCUGGUGUAGCGGUGAAAUGCGUAGAUAUCAGGAGGAACACCGGUGGUGUAGACGGCUUUCUGGACCGUAACUGACGCUGAGACACGAAAGCGUGGGUAGCAAACAGG